ACCAUAUUUGGUCUAUCCUAACAUUACAAACUGAUGUUGACACCUAAAAUGUUGCCUUAGAUGCUUAAAAUUUGAUUGAAGCAGGUGUAUGCCAACAUCGCAUUUUCGGUGUUGCCAUUAAUAAGAUAAAUGUUGUCAUAACUAAAACAAACCCUCAAUGCCAACAUUUUGUGCGAUGUUACCUUAAAGAUGUGUUAAAAUUAACAGGAGGGAAACAACCCGCCUUUUCAACUCUGAAUUUAUUAAAAAUAAAUUAAGCAACCGCCCAUCCCAUCACUCACACAAAUAAAACAUAACAAUAAAAUUAAAACUAAAACCAAUUCUUUCUCUCGGCUCACUCUCGCUCUCUCUCCAUCUCUCACUAUCUAUCUCGCAUCUCUCGCAUUUCACAUCUCUCAUUCAUCUCUCCCAUCUCAUUCUUUCAUUCCUUUCAUCUCUCUCAUCUCACUCUUUCAUCUCUCGAAGCUUGUCUCGGAGCUUAUCUCGCUGCUUAUACAAGGAAAGGGUCCGACGAUUAUAUACAGGAAGCAUAUCUCGCUGUUUUAGUUCUUGUCUCGGAGCUCAGUAACUUUCUUCUCGUAGUUUGAAUUUGGUCCGACUAUAACAUUAUAAGGAGAUGAUCACGUAUCACGUGGUACAGGGGCUGAUAGAGAAGUGGACGCAACCCUUGAAAAGUUCAGAAAGCUACUUAUAUUCUCCAGAAAUGAUUACAUGGGUUUGAAUUUACAUCCUUCACUAGGAAAGGCGUCUGCAAAGGCUGCAGAGGAACAUGGAAUGGCGAAAAGAGGUUCUACUCUGAUCUGUGGUUAUACAAAUUAUCAUAGGCGACUCGAGACUUGCCUGGGAGAAAUGAAGAAAAAAGAGGUCUCAGUUUAAGUGUCUUCUAUAAUUUUACUUGACAUAGGAAUGGGGUUAAUAGUUUAUAUGCUAAAGUUGAUGUGUUUAUUGUGUAUAAAUAUGCUAAAAAAGAUAUCAUGCUCUAAUGCUCCCCCUAUCAUCAUGUACGUAUAAAACUGUACUCUGAGAGUAUAUUUGCUGAUAUGUUUCUUUUCAGCACAAGGUUACACACCAUUUCUAGUGCACUUGACAAUGGUAAUUUUGACGAUAAGCAACAGACUAAAUAUCUUAUUUUUAAGGUCUACAAGAAUUUAAUGAACAAAGAGCUUAGGUAAUUACUAAUAUCUUCAUUUUCACACAAGCAAACCUUUCUCUGUUUUUUUCUAAUAAUUAACUUGAAAUUUUACUUAAUUUAUUGUUAAAUAGGGAUAUACAAGAGACUUAUCUUCUCUUGAUCAUGAAGGAAGAAGACAUACUAAAGGUUCUUCGAUUGUUUGAAGGAGCCACAGAAAGAAAAAAUAUUAGUGAAGUAUAUAUCUUUAAGGAAAUGGAUGGUAGCGAAAACUCAUGGUUUUUCUCUUAAAUAAUAUUAGCAUGUCAUACAUCAUUUGAAGAAAAUUAUCUUGGUGAACCUAUCCUUCCUGGUUGCUCUUGUCUGGUGCCUUUUGAUGGGCAACAGAACAUCCAAUAUUUAAGGAAUCAUGCAAGCUAUUGUGAUGCACCCGUUUGACAUAGGCGACCACUACAUCAUUAAUAACGACCAGGAAAAAUAAUGAGAAGAUAAAUUAUCCGAAUUCCGGGUUACUUUCGAAAUGGUGACUAUUUUGACUGAAAAGAUUCAGGAUCAAAUUGCGCAAAAGAUGGAAGAAAAAGUGGACAAGAAGGUUCGAGAUAAUGUCAAGUUGUUGAUGUCCAAACUGGCAGAAAAAAUUCCAGAAUUGAAGCUCGAUAUUGUAGAGCUAACUGCUGCAGUGCCGAAUGCUUCAGCCGUAGGUGAUCACCAUGACGACAUUACUUCAUAAAAUUUGGUCUGUGGAAUUUUAGUAUUGUGAUAAUAUUUUAGUAUCGAUAGAACUUUAGUAUUUUUUGGUAGAAUUUUAGUAUUUGCAGAAUUUUAGUAAGUUGUAGUAAAAUUAUGUGGAAUUUGUAUUGUGGAGUUUGGAUUUAACUA